UCAAUAUUUUGGUAACAAAUAUUCCGUAUUGCCUUUCUAAUGAUAAAUAUUUAAAUCAUACUGCAGGCAUAGAAAGAAAAUAGCUGAAGCCGAAACGUGGGGCUCGUACGAGCUGUACGGACGAAGGAAGCUACGGACUGAAGGACAUAGCACCUCACGCAGAGCAAAUCAGCACGGGAAGGGAAAGCAGCAGCACGAUGCAGAAGUUGGGAAUUAUGGCCUCAAGCAUGUUGCCUCUCACGCACAGACCUGCAGCAGAUCAAGACAGAGCACGAGCUGGCACAGAGGAAGGGCAAUGCAGAGUAAAAUCACACAAAACAGAGGGGCAAAUUGGUAUUACCUGCAUGGGCGUUAAAGACAGACCUGUGCUGGCUUUGGAGUUUUAUGUUUAGUUUUUCUUUUCUUUUCUUUUUUUCCAGUUUUUUUCCUCUCGUUCAGCGUUUUUCGUUUAGUUUUUAUUGGGAUUUCUUUAUUUUUCUUUACCUUUUCAUUCCAGACCUUCGGGCAGCAGAGUAGGGAGUUCUUAGUUUUUUCGUUUCUGGAUUUUCAGAUCGGGGUGGCGUCUUGGAUUUGUUUUCUUUCGUUUGGUCGUUUGUUGAGUUUUUUUUCUUCUUUUUUUAGUUGAUUCGGUUGCAGAACAGAGGGAUGGAACUAUCUCUAGUUUUGAGUUUUUUUUUUUUCUUUCCCAAUUUUCGUUUCAGGCAGCUUCUUUGAUUUUUAUUUUUAUUAUACUUGCAUUCAUUUUCAUUUUGGAGGGACAACGUUGUUUGGCCGGUUUCUUUUUUUAUUUAUUCUUAGUUUUGUUCAGACGGAGAACAUGGAACUCCCUCUCAGGUUUAGUUUUUAUUCUUUUCUAGUCUUCAUUUCAUGUUUUUUUGGACGUUCGGCUGAGCGGCGUUCCUUUCAUUUUAUAGUUCUUACUUCGUUUUUUUUUUUUUUUUUUUUUUUUUUCCAGUAUUUCCUUCGGUUCAGACCGUGAGGCGGUAGGGGAAUAUUUUACGUUUUUGCUUCUUUACACUUUGAAGUUUUAUGGACAGCUGGAAGUCAGUUUUGAUUUGCGUUCUUAGAGCUUUUCAGUUCCAAGCUUGGGGGCUACUGCUGGUGAUUAUUUUUUUCCUAUUUAGUUUAUGUUUUUCUUCGUUGAGGAUUGAUGGAGAGGAGAGGGCGUAUAGCUGCUCUCUCAGGUCUUUUUCAUUAAUUUCUUUUGAGUUUCACUUUUUCGGCUGGAAAGCUUCCUCUCGAUUUUGGGUGGACGACAGCUGCAAUUUUAUUUUUUUAGCUACAGUUUUCAUUCGGGUGGUUGUUGCUUCUUCUUCCUUCUUAGUGGUGCUGAUCUUGAGAGCUCUUCGGCUCUCUCUCAUUUUUAUUUUGGAUAUUUUUUUUUCAGAUUUUAUCAUGACUCAACUUAGAUUUAUUUUUGUUGCUAUAAAUACUAUGUGUAGCUAAUUUCUUAAGCUUGGGUUGUGGAAUGAGACUUGAUUUGUUUUGGGUUCUAGUUCAAAGCAAUAUUAUGUUGGUUUCACUAUGUUAUUGGUUGGACUUAAAUUGAAAAUAGAUUGCGGCUCUUGCUCUUGAUUUGUUGUUGACGUAAGGCACAACAAAAGUUUGAAAAUUAUCAAGACUUCUCUCCAUUGGUUGUUAAUGUGUGUUUGGCUAGUAAAGUAGAGAACUCUUAGGAAAAUAUUGUAAAUACUUGAGCAUAAUUUUUUAUCUUCCGUUUAUCAAUGCCUUGAUUGGAUUGUUAAACGAGAAAAUUUUUUAGGACCCGAAACAAAGAGAGUCUCAUACCCAACCCAAGUAUUUGUUAAUUUGCCUUUUUGAUUAGAAACUUUAAUUUUAACUUUGAUUAAUUUUAUUUUUAUUUUUUGCGGGAAUUGAAUUCACUCUUUUCUAUUCUUACCUCAUCUUCGAUAAUCGCACAGCACCAUUCGCCCCACAAAUCUGACCGACUAUAACUCCGAGUUGGGUAUGAUAUUCAUUUGCUCUACUCGUGUACGUAAUAUGACUCAAUUGGUUGAUGCAGUUUACUUGAAAUUGGAACUGCGUAGGAUUAUAAGUUUGAUUUAGGUUUUGGUGAUGAAUGCUAGGCUUGAAGGUCUUUGUGGUUGACUGAUUAGGGAUGUUUUGCUAAUGGUUAACUGUGGUUAUGGAGUUUUGUUGAAGUGGAGCGUAUUGGGCAUGGCCAUUGGCUUUAUAGUCCCUUUGGGAUUUUGAAGGGGUAAGGUUUUCCUUGUUAUGUGUACGAUAACAUACGUUUGUUUUUGCUUUGUUGUAUUAACCUAAAUAUUUUUGCUUAGUUGUAAGAUAUGGUUGGUUUUGGUUCGUACAAUGGUUAGAACGUUACCUUUGGUUUGAGUAAAGGUACGUACUUCAAAGAAAUAGAAUUGGAUAAAUGGUUCUUGCAAAAUCCAGGUCAUAGAUGAAUAUGACUUUAGGUGCAUUUUGGUUUUUAUGGUCUUUAUUUAUAAAAGAAAAAUGUACGUGUUAAGCAUCUAUCUACAUCUUGUUGAUGGUCAAAUUCACCUCAAGUAUAUAUGCACACUUUUGGCCCAAUUUCAAUUACGCUUCCAUUUGUCUUGGGAUAAUUUGUUAAUUGUCUUAAAUUAAAUUGAUAUAUACCAUUUUAAAAUAUGUAAAUUUCAUAUAUUUUCUUAAAAAAAGAAGAAGAUAAAUUUAUGAUUUUUUUUAAAUUAUUUUUAAUAAUAAAUCUUAUUAUUUAAAAAAAAUUACACAUACUCGCUUGAAAAGAUUUCCCUGCAAUCAAACCCAAAUGGUUUCUUAAGCCCAACCCAACCCAAGCCCAACCUGUGGAAAAGAAUGAAAUGAUCCAAAAUGAUGCCAUUUUGGUUGAAAGUCCUAACAUUGCCAAUGCAAGUGUAAAAUAAAUAGAAUUCUACGUUAAGUUGUCUGUAAUGGCCUAGUCAAAGUUGGUAAGUUUGACAUAAAUGCUACAGUCAUUCUUAGGAGCUCUCCAAGUCUGGCGAGAUACUGUACAAAGACCAAACAAUAUUUUAUCAAUUUUCUUCUACCCGUUCCUCUCUCUUUCCCUCGGUUUCUCGUUUAUUCCACAAAAUCCUCCAACUACUUCUUCACCUGUUGCCCUUCUUCAACCCGUAGCCCCUAUUCAGGUGCAGCAGUCGCCUCUCCAGCGGACCCUGUCAUCUCCGAGCUCUCCAAACCAGUUCAAAUCAGUUGCUCAGCAUUGGAUUGCUCCACGAAUCACGCCAAAGGUUCUUCCUCCACGAAUAUGCCACUACCGGUAGCGUUUGUUUGGGUAAAUGCAUAGUUUUAUUUAUUUAUUUAUUUAUUUUAGGAUGAAAUGGUAUACAGGAUAUAAUCUAUUAAAUUUUCUAUAGUAUUUUUUUGGGCAACUAUUGAUAUUAAAGAUGACAAGAACUAGAUCUACAUUUGGCACUUUCAAAUCUGCCAUUAGCUUGGAAUUGUUGAGAUUAUAUGAUGAUAAUUUCUGCCAUUGGGCGACAAAUUGAUGGCUACUAAAAUCUGGAAGUGCUUGGACCUUGUAUGUUGCUUGGACCCUGAUGGUUUGUUUGACGUUGCUUUUCAAUGUUGUUUGGGGUUUUGACUUACAUAUAUACAUAUAUAUAUAUAUAUAUAUAUAUAUAUAUAUAUAUAUUAUAUAAAACCUUGCCAAGAAAAUGUUUUUUGAGGUUUUGAAUUACUUUCCUUGAAUAGUCAUGGGUAUGGGGUUUGACUAAGAGUUAGGACAAACUGGUUUGACUAGUUUGGAUUUGAUCAAGUUUUGUUUUAUAUAGACUUAUCAAAAAACAAGUUUUGUAAUAAGUAGUCAGAAAACAAGUAAAAAUUGGAGUUCUGGACUUUAAGAUAGUCCUAGACUUUAAACAAGUAAAGAAAACAAGUAAAAUAGUUGAGUUACUUUAAACUUUAUAAGUGUAAGUUUUAUGGGUCUUGGUUAAUACUUAAAAAUGAUACUAUAUCAACAGCGUAUGAUACUAAUGCUAUGGUAGUAUAGGUUGUUGCUUGACAUUAUUGUAAAGCCAUUUUGCUCCUUUUAGAAAGGUAUGGGUAUAAGCAUAGCAGGCUGUGAUUGUGUUAAAUUGGGACUGUAUAACUUAAAAGACUGGGAGUUCUAUUACAACCCCCAAAUCCUAGAUUCUACUUUAGUUUUUCAAAUUAUAUCUUAAUAGGUUUCAUGUGUACUUCUUAGAUGAUUAUUUUAUCAUCAAAAACCAAUGCACAUUCAAUAUUUCAAACCAAAACCGUCAAAUCCUAUACUUGGCUAUGUAGUUGAUCAUGUUCUUCCCAAGAACUUUAAUCUAUAAAUCCCAUUAGGCAAAGAUAUCACUACAAUCCCUGAUAGUUGUUUGAUUGAGUUUAUUCUUGGUGAAGGUGCGCAUUGCAAUAGCAAAAAAUGAAAGCAAACAAUUUAUGAGUGUUAUCUAUGUAGUAUCCUGAAGAAGUUUCUGGUAAGGAAGAUUAACGAAGAUGCAAAAUUUUUCUUCUUAAAAUUGCAUGAUUCUAUCACAUUAUUCCCUUGAUAUUGUAUGAUCUUUAAAUAUUUAAGUGAUGAUUAUUAGAAUUUCUGUACGUUUACUUAUGAGUUGAAAAAAAUAUAUAUAUGAUGUUUGUAGAAAACCAAGGAAUUAUCAUUGUACAUGGCUCAAAAUAUUUGUAUAUUUCUCUUUUUCUAAUUUAUGAAUAAGAAAAAGAUCAGAACACAAUACCUUUUUAGUGGAUGUAAACUUGACUGAGCAUGGCUCUACUCCUUUAAUUUUGAAAUUUUUUUUAUAAGGAUUAAUUACACUAGCAUGUCAAGAUUCAAAAUUACUUGACUGAAAUUCUAUUGGUUUUAUAUAUGAUAAGAGGACAAAGAAAACUCAUUUAAAAAGUGUUAAACCACAAUUAUGCAUAUAAUAUAAUCGAAGUUUUCUUCUUUCUUUAAAAAAAAGAGAUUAUUUUAAAGAACCAAAUGUAGCAUCCCGUCAAAUCGUGACAAGAAACCAUAAGGAUAAUAGGACUUUGACCAUGUUAGUUUAGAGACAAAGAUGAUGAAUAGAUGAAGUUGUGACCUUUAUCAACUUUUAGAAAUCAUUCUUUCAGCGAAUGACAAGCAGCACGAAAAGGACUAAUUACUACCUUGACAAGAUUUGAAAUGAACCCAUAUCAUGUUGGGGAGCAUAGCUAGAUGGGAAGUGGGCUACUCCUCUUUUCAUUUCUUCUUCUCUUUUCUGCUUUUUUUUUUUUCCUUAUAAUCAGCCAAGUAUUGAUUGGUUGUGUCCAAUACUCAGCUACUAUAAACUAGUUUGGAUUUGUUGACAAGUUGUAUAAAUUGUCCAGUACUCAACAUCUAUACAACAUGAAGAUGUCUCAUGUUAAAAGAAAGAGUGAAUGUGCUCAGCAGAAAGACAGAGAGUCAUGAUAUUAGGAGCCUGAAUAAACUCACUAACUUAAAAUACACACUAGAAGAAGGGAAUUAAUAUAAUUAGUAUUAACCAUUAACUACAAAACUAAGUCAAGUCAUGAUAUUAUGAGCCUAAAUGACAUUCAUCACAAACCAUCUACAAAAUUCAAUUCUUCAUUUGGUUUGUGAAUUUUGAAGGGUUAUGUUGUGGGAGCUUUUAGUAUAUUUAGGUUCAUGCCUUUUCUUUUCCCAAUUUUUUUAUACUUCUAUUUUUUUCUAUAUGUUUCUGAAUCCCUCAUGGUUGUUUGUAAUUGUAUUAUGAUUGACUUUUUUAUGGAGGCAAAUAUUUUUAUAUGUAAGUAAAAUAUGGAUCCGAAAUAUUUUUCUACAUCUCUCAAGUUUCUAAUUGUUAAUGAAUUCUGAAAGUAUCUUUCUAAUAAUUGUUGUUCAUUUUCUGUCAUCUUGUAUUUUCUUUAUUUUACUCUUUUUUAUUCUUUCUUUCCUUGUUUAUGUGUGUAAGGGCUGACUUUAGUAAUGAUGUUUUCAAGUGAUCUUCAAAACUCUCUGUUUCUAGCCUUGCUUGCUAAUUUCUUGGUUAUAUCAAUUAUUCAAUUCUCCUUUGAUGUCCAUGUGGGCUGUUCUCCUUUGUAUCUAUUAAAUGAUAUUGAGAUAAAUAAUAUAUUGACUGAGAUACUGGAUUAUGAUGUUGAGAUGCUUUAUAAUUCUCAACAAUAUAAUGCUGAGGAUUUAAUAUUGGACUUAACUAUUGGGCAACUUGUCUGACACAUUGAAAAUUUAAUACUUUUUAAGAAUGGACACACAUUUUGAUUAUGACCAUUCUUCACCACUCUAUUGUAAAGUGGAGGAGGAGGUUGUAAUAGUACCCUAACACAAAAUGAAAAUGUUGUUGUCCAAGCAACUCUAAAUGACGGUGAAAAGAGGCAUCUUUCAAAACAAGUUUAACGAAGUGCAUAUUUUACUAUUGAAGAGGAUAACCUCCUCGUCUCAGCUUGGCUCAGCAUUAGCAUCAAUGUGAUAAGGGGUACUGAUAAAAAGUCCACACAAAUAUGGGAAAGAAUUACCACAUUUUAUCAUGAAUAUAAAAAACUAAACAUUGCCAAUUGUUUUGAAGGCUCUUUGAUGAAUCGGUGGUCCACAAUUCAAAAAUGGAUAAAUAAAUUUUGUGCAUAUAUAGCACAGGUAGAUUCAUUACACCCAAGUGGUGCAACGAAGCUAGAUAAGAUUAAGAAAGUGAAGGUGUUGUAUAAAGGGAUGCUAGGGAGUAAUUUUAUAAUGGAGCACUGUUGGUGUCUUGCUAAGAAGAGAAUGUCACCUAAAAAAAUGUCUAAUGUUAUUGAUGUUGAUAAAGCUGAGGAAGACAUAGAGGUUCUUGCUGAGAGACCUCCAGGCAAAAUUAAAGCUGAUAAAGAAAGGAAGAGGAAGCAGAAGUCCAUGGAAGGCAAUGAUGGUGAGAUCAAGACUGCCUUGACUAAAAUGACUGAGGAUCGAGCAACGACCAUGGAAGAUCGUAGAAAUGCGACUCUGAAGGCAGACCUAGAAAGAUCAGUAGCAUUUGAACUAAAAAAAAAAUUCGAGACAAAGAUGAUGUUACUAGAUCUAAGUGGCCUGAAUGCCAUGCAUCAAUAAUAUUUUGGCUAUAUUUAACGGAAAAUUUUUGAGGAAUGGAGGAAGGAUUUCGGGGCGACAUCUACAUCUCCUUCGAUACCUUAUGGAGGUGUCUAACGUCUAAUGUUGGUAGUGAAGAUUGUUUUUGAAUUAUUUGUGGUUGCCCAGCCAUAUGUGGGCUGGAUAAACAUGUGGCUGGGUAGCAACUAAAUUAAUGGAUUGUUUUAGAUAAAUUAGUGGACUGGCUGGUUUGUAGUGGAAUGUUUUAGGGUACAUUAGUGGACUGUAGUGAAAUUUUUUGUAGAAUGUUAGUUUGUACAUUUAUGGACUAUAUUGGAAAUAUGCAAAUAGAUUAUUAUGGAUGUUA